rnacentral:tRNA from 2 species
CCCGCCUUAACUCAGUUGGUAGAGUGCGCGGCUGUAGUUACCGCGAUGCCCCCGGUUCGAGUCUGGGAGGCGGGACCA